ACUGCCGUGAAUACGUUCCCGGGCCUUGUACACACCGCACGUCACACCAUGAGAGUUGGGAAUACCCGAAGCCUGUGAGCUAACGUAAGAGGCAGCAGUCGAAGGUAGAAUCAAUGAUUGGGUGAAGUCGUAACAAGGUACC
rnacentral:rRNA from 1 species